rnacentral:rRNA from 1 species
CAUAUCAAUAAGCGGAGGAAAAGAAACUAACAAGGAUUCCCCUAGUAACUGCGAGUGAAGCGGGAAAAGCUCAAAUUUAAAAUCUGGCGGUCUUUGGCCGUCCGAGUUGUAAUCUAGAGAAGUGUUAUCCGCGCUGGACCGUGUACAAGUCUCCUGGAAUGGAGCGUCAUAGAGGGUGAGAAUCCCGUCUUUGACACGGACUGCCAGGGCUUUGUGAUGCGCUCUCAAAGAGUCGAGUUGUUUGGGAAUGCAGCUCAAAAUGGGUGGUAAAUUCCAUCUAAAGCUAAAUAUUGGCGAGAGACCGAUAGCGAACAAGUACCGUGAGGGAAAGAUGAAAAGAACUUUGGAAAGAGAGUUAAACAGUACGUGAAAUUGCUGAAAGGGAAACGCUUGAAGUCAGUCGCGUUGUCCAGGGAUCAACCUUGCUUUUGCUUGGUGCACUUUCUGGUUGACGGGUCAGCAUCAAUUUUGACCAUUGGAAAAAGAUUAGGGGAAUGUGGCAUCCUUGGAUGUGUUAUAGCCCUUGGUUGCAUACAAUGGUUGGGAUUGAGGAACUCAGCACGCCGCAAGGCCGGGUUUUAACCACGUACGUGCUUAGGAUGCUGGCAUAAUGGCUUUAAUCGACCCGUCUUGAAACACGGACCAAGGAGUCUAACAUACCUGCGAGUGUUUGGGUGGAAAACUCGAACGCGUAAUGAAAGUGAAAGUUGAGAUCCCUGUCGUGGGGAGCAUCGACGCCCAGACCAGACCUUUUGUGACGGUUCUGCGGUAGAGCAUGUAUGUUGGGACCCGAAAGAUGGUGAACUAUGCCUGAAUAGGGUGAAGCCAGAGGAAACUCUGGUGGAGGCUCGUAGCGAUUCUGACGUGCAAAUCGAUCGUCAAAUUUGGGUAUAGGGGGCGAAAGACUAAUCGAACCAUCUAGUAGCUGG